rnacentral:rRNA from 1 species
UACGGAGGGUGCAAGCGUUGUCCGGAAUCACUGGGCGUAAAGGGCGCGUAGGCGGCUCAUGAAGGCUGUGGUGAAAGUCCGGGGCUCAACCUCGGAUCGGCCGUGGCGACUCGUGGGCUGGAGCACUGUAGAGGCGGGUGGAAUUCCGAGUGUAGAGGUGAAAUUCGUAGAUAUUCGGAAGAACACCAGUGGCGAAGGCGGCUCACUGGACCGGUAUUGACGCUGAGGUGCGAAAGCGUGGGGAGCAAACAGG